rfam:Pan troglodytes isolate Yerkes chimp pedigree #C0471 (Clint) chromosome 10, whole genome shotgun sequence.
GCUGGGCAUGGUGGCACGUGCCUGCAAUCCCAGUUACUUGGGAGGCUGAGGCAGGGGAAUCACUUGAACCCAGGAGGUGGAGGUUGCAGUGAGCUGAGAUUGUGCCACUGCACCCCAACCUGGGUGACAGAGUGAGACUCUGUCUCAA